UACGGAGGAUGCAAGCGUUAUCCGGAAUGAUUGGGCGUAAAGCGUCCGCAGGUGGCAGUUCAAGUCUGCUGUCAAAGACCGGGGCUUAACUUCGGAAAGGCAGUGGAAACUGAACAGCUAGAGUAUGGUAGGGGCAGAGGGAAUUCCUGGUGUAGCGGUGAAAUGCGCAGAUAUCAGGAGGAACACCAAUGGCGAAGGCAGCUCGCUGGGACGGUACUGACGCUGAGGCGCGAAAGCGUGGGGAGCAAACAGG
rnacentral:rRNA from 1 species